rnacentral:rRNA from 1 species
AAAACUUUACAAUGCGGGCAACCGUGAUAAGGGAACCUCGAGUGCCUGUACAUGCAGGCUGUUCAGGUGUCUAAAACACACCUGAAGAAAGGGCCGGGCAAGACCGGUGCCAGCCGCCGCGGUAAUACCGGCGGCUCGAGUGGUGGCCACUUUUAUUGGGCUUAAAGCGUUCGUAGCUGGGUUGUUAAGUCUCUUGGGAAAUCUGGCGGCUUAACCGUCAGGCGUCUAAGGGAUACUGGCAAUCUUGGAACCGGGAGAGGUGAGGGGUACUUCGGGGGUAGGAGUGAAAUCCUGUAAUCCUCGAGGGACCACCUGUGGCGAAGGCGCCUCACCAGAACGGCUUCGACAGUGAGGGACGAAAGCUGGGGGAGCAAACCGGAUUAGAUACCCGGGUAGUCCCAGCCGUAAACGAUGCGCGUUAGGUGUAUCGGUGACCACGAGUCACCGAGGUGCCGAAGGAAAACCGUGAAACGUGCCGCCUGGGAAGUACGGUCGCAAGGCUGAAACUUAAAGGAAUUGGCGGGGGAGCACCACAACGGGUGGAGCUGCGGUUUAAUUGGACUCAACGCCGGGAAGCUCACCGGAUAAGACAGCUGAAUGAUUGCCGGGCUGAAGACUCUGCAUGACUAGCUGAGAGGAGGUGCAUGGCCGUCGUCAGUUCGUACUGUGAAGCAUCCUGUUAAGUCAGGCAACGAGCGAGACCCACGCCAACAGUUGCCAGCAUGGUCUCCGGACUGAUGGGGACACUGUUGGGACCGCCUCUGCUAAAGAGGAGGAAGGAAUGGGCAACGGUAGGUCAGCAUGCCCCGAAUUAUCCGGGCUACACGCGGGCUACAAUGGGCAGGACAAUGGGUAUCGACACCGAGAGGUGAAGGCAAUCUCCUAAACCUGUCCUUAGUUCGGAUUGUGGGCUGCAACUCGCCCACAUGAAGCUGGAAUCCGUAGUAAUCGCGUUUCAAAAUAACGCGGUGAAUGUGUCCCUGCUCC